UGGAGGGCAAGUCUGGUCCCAGCAGCCGCGGUUAGUCGCUUACCAAAUGUCGCUGAUGAAGUUGUUGUGGUUAAAAAGCUCGUAUGCUCGCUUUGGGCCUGGCUGGCCGGUCCGCCUCAAGGCCGUCGUAGAUGCGGCCGGGCCUAUGCUCGUGAUAGCCCCAUGCCCUUCACUAUGCUCUAAUCUUCGUACAGGACUUUUACUGUGAAAAAAUUAGAGUGCUCCAGGCAGGCCUAAUGCUCGCUACAUUAGCAUGGAAUAAUUGAACUGUGCGUGUGGUUCUAUUUUGUUGUGCAUGUAGACCGCCGUAAUGAUUAAAUGCUCGUAGUGGGGGCAUCAGUAUUCAAUUGUCAGAGAUGCUCCGUGAGGAUUUAUUGAAGACGUUCUAAGUGGAAAGCUGCUCGUAGAGAUGUUUUCAUUAAUCAAUGCUCGUGAUUAGGGGAUCGAAGACGAUCAUGCUCGUGCGUAGUCUUGGUGUCCACUUAUGCCGACUAGGGAUCAUGCUCGUAUGGCAAUGUGUCAAUGGUUCGGCACCUUACGG
rnacentral:rRNA from 1 species